UACGGAGGGAGCAAGCGUUACUCGGAAUUAUUGGGCGUAAAGGGCGCGUAGGCGAUUUGAUAAGUCUCGUGUGAAAGCCCAGGGCCUAACCCUGGAAGGGCAUGGGAUACUGUUGAAUUUGAGUUCCGGAGAGGAAGGCAGAAUUCCCGGUGUAGCGGUGAAAUGCGUAGAUAUCGGGAGGAAUACCAGUGGCGAAGGCGGCCUUCUGGACGGAUACUGACGCUGAGGCGCGAAAGCCAGGGGAGCAAACGGG
rnacentral:rRNA from 1 species